rnacentral:rRNA from 1 species
CGCGUAGGCGGCGAAUUUAGUUAGGCGUGAAAGCCCCGGGCUCAACCUGGGAACUGCGCUUAAUACUGAUUUGCUAGAGACCGGGAGAGGCGAGUGGAAUAUCCAGUGUAGAGGUGAAAUUCGUAGAUAUUGGAUGGAACACCGAUGGCGAAGGCAGCUCGCUGGACCGGUACUGACGCUGAGGCGCGAAAGCGUGGGGAUCAAACAGGAUUAGAUACCCUGGUAGUCC